GCGUGCCUAAGACAUGCAAGUCGAACGAGGUCCACCCGGUGGCAACACCGGCGACGACCUAGUGGCGAACGGGUGAGUAACACGUGAGGAACCUGCCCCGAAGACCGGGAUAACCCUCCGAAAGGAGAGCUAAUACCGGAUGUCCCCUGGAGGUCGCAUGGCCACCAGAGGAAAUGCUUUUGUGCUUCGGGAGGGCCUCGCGGCCUAUCAGCUUGUUGGUGGGGUAACGGCCCACCAAGGCAUCGACGGGUAGCUGGUCUGAGAGGACGAUCAGCCACACUGGGACUGAGACACGGCCCAGACUCCUACGGGAGGCAGCAGUUAGGAAUCUUGCGCAAUGGGCGAAAGCCUGACGCAGCAACGCCGCGUGGGGGAUGAAGGCCCUCGGGUCGUAAACCCCUUUCAGUGGGGACGAAACUGACGGUACCCACAGAAGAAGUCCCGGCCAACUACGUGCCAGCAGCCGCGGUAACACGUAGGGGACAAGCGUUGUCCGGAUUUAUUGGGCGUAAAGGGCUCGUAGGCGGUUCGGCAAGUCGGGUGUGAAACCUCCAGGCUCAACCUGGAGUCGCCACCCGAAACUGCUGUGACUUGAGUCCGGUAGGGGAGCACGGAAUUCCUGGUGUAGCGGUGGAAUGCGCAGAUAUCAGGAGGAACACCAGUGGCGAAGGCGGUGCUCUGGGCCGGUACUGACGCUGAGGAGCGAAAGCAUGGGGAGCGAACAGGAUUAGAUACCCUGGUAGUCCAUGCCGUAAACGUUGGGCACUAGGUGUGGGACCCUCUCAACGGGUUCCGCGCCGUAGCUAACGCAUUAAGUGCCCCGCCUGGGGAGUACGGCCGCAAGGCUAAAACUCAAAGG
rnacentral:rRNA from 1 species